rnacentral:rRNA from 2 species
CCAAUAGCGUAUAUUAAAGUUGCUGCAGUUAAAAAGCUCGUAGUUGAAUUUCGGGACCAAUAUGUCGGUCGUGCCUCGGUACGUACUGGCAUUGUUGGUUUCUCCCUUCUGAAGAACCAUGAUGUCAUUCAUUUGGUGUCGUGGGGAAUCAGGACUGUUACUUUGAAAAAAUUAGAGUGUUUAAAGCAGGCUCACGCUUG